rnacentral:misc_RNA from 1 species
CUGGUAAAGUUCAGCAGGUCCUGAGAGCAAUAUAGCCUGACUUGCAGGCGCAAGGUUCCUUGUGUACUUGGAAACUUCAGCAUGCUUCAAGUGAACAUAUGCAGCACUUGUAAGUAAUGCCCUGGUCUGCUCACUGAGGUAGUAGGGGAAUUGGUCGAAGGUGACACCAGUUUCUCUGCCAUCAAUCACUUGCCUGAGCAUUUCUUGCUCCAAGUUCUCUGCGGUUACAGCGUUGAGAGACGAAGCUUUCGCAGUCAAUUUGUUCUGUCCCGACGCUAAUCCGAAUCCUACCCCUACCCCGACACCAACGCUCAAGGCCGAUAACAGUAUGUGCUUCUGUUCCAUUUGAUCCGUGGUAUGCGACUUGCCUCAACCGCUUGUCCGUGUCUGGUGUCUCUGUAUUUUCUAAAAGUUGUGUUUGGUUUUGUUUGAAAUUCCUACAAGUGGCCAAAUAGAGAAAGAGGCGGAUCUGGAGACACGAAAGGGUGGGAGAUAAGAGUGGAACGGGGCGGUGGCUAGUGGCGGCUGAGAGAGGUGGUGGAGGUGGGAAAGUUUAUAUGGUUCCCACUAUAUGAGGCUUGUCCCUCGGUUUUUGAGUUUUUAAAGCGGAAACGAUUGGUGAUUGCUG